rnacentral:miRNA from 14 species
CAGGGUACCAGAUGAGAUGGGG